rnacentral:rRNA from 1 species
GAUGAACGCUGGCGGCGUGCCUAAUACAUGCAAGUCGAGCGAACGGACGAGAAGCUUUCUUCUCUGUUGUUAGCUGCUGACGGGUUAGUAACACGUUGAUAACCUACCUUUAAGACUGGGAUAGCCUCGGGAAACCGGAGCUAAUACCGGAUAAUAUUUUGAACCGCAUGGUUCAAUAGUGAAAGACGGUCUUGCUGUCACUUAUAGAUUGAUCCGCGCUGCAUUAGCUAGUUGGUAAGGUAACGGCUUACCAAGGCAACGAUGCAUAGCCGACCUGAGAGGGUGAUCGGCCACACUGGAACUGAGACACGGUCCAGACUCCUACGGGAGGCAGCAGUAGGGAAUCUUCCGCAAUGGGCGAAAGCCUGACGGAGCAACGCCGCGUGAGUGAUGAAGGUCUUCGGAUCGUAAAACUCUGUUAUUAGGGAAGAACAUAUGUGUAAGUAACUGUGCACAUCUUGACGGUACCUAAUCAGAAAGCCACGGCUAACUACGUG